GGGGCUGUAGCUCAGAUGGAUAGAGCGACCGCCUCCUAAGCGGUAGGCCGAGGGUUCGAAUCCCGCCAGUCCCG
rnacentral:tRNA from 1 species